rnacentral:rRNA from 1 species
AUGGCCGCCUCUCCCUCUUGCAUUUCUCUUGUGGUGCUCGUGGCUCUGGCCACGGUGGCGUCUGCGCAGCUGUCCCCGACGUUCUACAGCGCGUCGUGCCCCGGGGCGCUGGCCGCCAUCAAGAGCGGCGUGACGGCCGCCGUGAGCAGCGACCCCCGCAUGGGCGCGUCGCUGCUCAGGCUGCACUUCCACGACUGCUUUGUCCAGGGCUGCGACGCCUCUGUUCUUCUGUCAGGCAACGAGCAGAACGCGGGCCCGAACGCGGGCCCGAACGCGGGCCCGAACGCGGGCCCGACACGUCAAUGA